rnacentral:rRNA from 1 species
AUGUUUCCAUGCUGUAAUGAGUGGAGGAUUAAGGAGCGCAUGCAAAGCUCAGAAACCGGUACAUUAAUGCUAGUUUGUCCAGUCAUCAUUUUCUUCUCUUUUUGUGUGGGAACUCAGGGAUUUCUUGGGCUAGCAACUGGUUGUGUUUUAUGGCCUAGCCCACAGCAAAGGAAAACCAGUGAGGAAAACAAGCCUCGUGUCUUACCCAAAUGGAGCCACAUUUUAAAUUCAAUCACUGAAGUUGGUUUGAAAGAAGUGCAGCUACAUGGAAGAUUAUACACAUGGGCCAAGAACUUGGAGGUGCCUCUGGCCACAUUACUCCGGUCAUUUCGGAUCUGA